ensembl:snRNA U1 U1 spliceosomal RNA
AUACUUACCUGGCAGGGGGGAUACCAUAAUCAUGAAGGUGGUUUUCCCAGGGCGAGGCUUAUCCAUUGCACUCCCGGUGUGCUGACCCCUGUGAUUUCCCCAGGAAACUUGACUGCAUAACUUGGGGGGGGGGGGCCUGCGUUCCCGCUCUUCCCUG